CAUUACGUUACUUUUGCAGUUAAGAUGAUGUUUUCCUCUACCAUUUGUAAAAGGAAUUGUCAUUUUUACCCUUAUCUUCUUCACGGCAGCAACAGCUAAAUCCCAUCUCAGCUGCUUCCUCUCCACCAGAGCAUUCAGCAGGGCAGCAGGCAACAACUCACAUCUCCACCUCCCUCUUACCAAGCAGAAGCUGUGGGUCAUCUCCUUUCUUCUUCCCCAUGAGCCGAGCUGCACAUCCACCAGUAGCAGGCUAGCAGCUUGUUAUAUCUCCAUCGAUUCUUGCAGCACCACAAAAUCAAGCAGCUGUAGCUCAAAUCAGCAAUCGCCAGAGCAGAUCCACGGCACCGCCAAUUGAAAAACACGAAAACCACCAUCUCCUUUUUUUCUCUCGAUUCCUCCCCCAUGCCAACCACGAGCUCUGCUCCUCCCCUCCCUUGCGAACAGCAGCAGAGCAAGCAGGGCAAAUAGCAAAUGAGGUGCCCGUGCUCGUGCAGCUGCGUGUAGCCGGGCAUUACGCCCAGGCCACCGUCACAUCCUGCAGCACUGCCAUGCUGGAGCCGUGUUAGUCAUGGGGAAGUGAGGGUCGCAUU
rnacentral:lncRNA from 1 species